rnacentral:lncRNA from 10 species
UUUGUCCUUAUAAGCAAAUGCAAGAUUAGGCUUUCACUCAGUGUUAUAAUGUAAUAAUUAUUUUGGAAGAAAAAUUUCACACUGGGGCUAUAUCAGAGCUUUUCACUAGGGUUUCCUGCCUGUUUCCUGGGCCGCCUUACUCACUCUACUGUAAAAUCCCUGAAGGUAAACACUCUGACUUUUUUACCUUUGUAUCACCAGCACCUUGGCAGUACCUGAUACAAAAAUAUUUGAAUUACUUACAAGAUUUAAUAAUCUAGCAAGCUACCAACAAAAUGAUAGAAAUUUAUUUUCCAGCUUAGGGUAAUUGAUGGCCCUCACACUAGAGAAAGCAUUAGCAGGUGCCAUUUGCAGAUUUUUUUGGAAAAGAAUAGAACCAAAGGGAGCUCCUGGCCCCAAUAUUCUCCCUCUUAAACAUUCUUA